rnacentral:rRNA from 1 species
CCUACGGGUGGCAGCAGUGGGGAAUAUUGCACAAUGGGGGAAACCCUGAUGCAGCGACGCCGCGUGAGUGAAGAAGUUUUUCGGUAUGUAAAGCUCUAUCAGCAGGGAAGAAAAUGACGGUACCUGAUUACUAAUCCGCGGCUGACUACGUGCCAGCAUCCGAGGUACUACGUAGGGGGCAAGCGUUAUCCGGAUUUACUGGGGGUAAAGCGAGCGUAGACGGUGUUGCAAGUCAGAAGUGAAAGCCCGGGGCUCAACUCCGGGACUGCUUUUGAAACUGUGUAGCUGGAGUGGAGGAGAGGUACGCGGAAUUCGUGGUGUAGCGGUGAAAUGCGUAGAUAUCAGGAGGAACCCCAGUGGCGAAGGCGGCUUACUGGACUGUAACUGACGUUGAGGCUCGAAAGCGUGGGGAGCGAACAGGAUUAGAUACCCUGGUAGUC